UAGUCUUAGUCUUAGUAGUAGUCUUAGUCUUAGUAGUUUUAGUCUUAGUAGUUUUAGUCUUAGUAGUCUUAGUCUUAGUCUUAGUAGUAGUCUUAGUCUUAGUAGUAGUCUUAGUCUUAGUCUUAGUCUUAGUCUUAGUCUUAGUAGUUGUCUUAGCAGUAGUCCUAGUCUUAGUAGUCUUAGUCUUAGUAGUAGUAGUCUUAGUCUUAGUCUUAGUAGUUUUAGUCUUAGUAGUAGUCUUAGUCUUAGUAGUCUUAGUCUUAGUAGUCUUAGUCUUAGUAGUCUUAGUCUUAGUAGUCUUAGUCUUAGUAGUUGUCUUAGCAGUAGUCUUAGUCUUAGUAGUAGUAGUCUUAGUAGUAGUAGUCUUAGUAGUCUUAGUAGUAGUAGUCUUAGUCUUAGUAGUAGUCUUAGUNNN
rnacentral:lncRNA from 1 species